rnacentral:lncRNA from 1 species
CUUCGACGUAAUGUAUUGUGGUGUCGUUAUCACAAUUAUCAACUGGAUACGACGGUGGAUGACCGACUUUAAAGCUGACAACGUUGUCUGGUUGUUUAGUAAAAAGGUCUAGAUUAUCGAAUGCCGACUCAAUUUUGCACUGGAUUUCCUGGUGAUAAUUGGAUGGUGUCUUCCCUGGUUUUAGUGGUUUCUUUCCAUUGUUAAACAUUGUCCUCUACCAUUCUACAAUUAUAUGAAGAGUUUAUAUAAAAAAAAAAAACCAUACAUUAACAAUAACACAAAAAAAACUUUUUAAAAAUACAAACAGAAACAAAAAUUCCC